rnacentral:rRNA from 1 species
AUUGAACGCUGGCGGCAUGCUUUACACAUGCAAGUCGAACGGUAACAGGGUGCUUGCACCGCUGACGAGUGGCGAACGGGUGAGCAAUGCGUCGGAACGUGCCGAGUAGUGGGGGAUAACGCAUCGAAAGGUGUGCUAAUACCGCAUACGUACUGAGGUAGAAAGUGGGGGACCUUCGGGCCUCACGCUAUUCGAGCGGCCGACGUCUGAUUAGCUCGUUGGUGAGGGAAAGGCUCACCAAGGCGACGAUCAGUAGCGGGUCUGAGAGGAUGAUCCGCCACACUGGGACUGAGACACGGCCCAGACUCCUACGGGAGGCAGCAGUGGGGAAUUUUGGACAAUGGGCGCAAGCCUGAUCCAGCCAUGCCGCGUGUCUGAAGAAGGCCUUCGGGUUGUAAAGGACUUUUGUCCGGGAGCAAAUACCCAGUGCUAAUAACGUUGGGGGCUGAGAGUACCGGAAGAAUAAGCACCGGCUAACUACGUGCCAGCCGCCGCCGUAA